UUCUCCCACCACAUCUUGUUCCUCUCCUCCGCCGCCAACCACUUAUCUCACAUCUCGUCUUCCAUCUUCCGCUCCUCUUACUCCUCAACAAUCUCCUAUCACACCAAUUAUUUCUCCUAAAUCCCCUACUUAAAACCCUCCACUUUCAGUAUCAGGACUACUGUCGAAUCCUUUAAGCAACGGCGGAGGAGGAUCUCCUCGAACUCCAUCUUUACCGUCUUCUUCUUCAUAUGGGUUAUCAACAGGAGUGGUGGUUAGUAAAGCCAUUGAGGAGUCACAGUGGCAAUGGCGGACACAUAGACAGUGGUGACAUAGGCAUAAACAACGACAGAUAUGAAGACGACGGCGGCAGUUACGUGUAGACGGGAGACAGAGAACUCACAGCUGAGAAAAACAAAGAAAACUAGAUAGAGCUGCGUCUUUCGAAUCCUCAUCAUCAACCACAGCUUGCUGAAACAGAGAAGAAGAUUAGAUAAUAGAUUGAGAAGAAGAAGACGCAGGUCAAUCAAUGUAAUGGAAGGAAGAUAAACAAGAUGUCUGCUGUUUUCCAGCUGUCCAGCUCAGGUUCUGUGACUUCAUAAAGAUUAUGUUGUAUAUGUAUUCAUAUUUUUUGCCAUAUUCAUCGUGUGGAAACUCCAAAUCAUAUUUGUUGUGCUUUAUGAUGUCAUGGUUGUCUGAAUGAUAUGUACAUUUGAAAAAUAUCUUUGUAAAUACAUGUGUACCUUAAGCACAUACACAUCCACC